GAUGAACGCUAGCUACAGGCUUAACACAUGCAAGUCGAGGGGUAACGAGAGGAAAGCUUGCUUUCCUUGUCGACGACCGGCGCACGGGUGAGUAACGCGUAUCCAACCUGCCCCCAACUAAGGAAUAACCUUGCGAAAGUAAGACUAAUACCUUAUAAUUUCCUCAGAUGUCAUCUGACGAGGAAUAAAGAUUUAUCGGUUGUGGAUGGGGAUGCGUCUGAUUAGCUUGUUGGCGGGGUAACGGCCCACCAAGGAAACGAUCAGUAGGGGUUCUGAGAGGAAGGUCCCCCACAUUGGAACUGAGACACGGUCCAAACUCCUACGGGAGGCAGCAGUGAGGAAUAUUGGUCAAUGGGCGGAAGCCUGAACCAGCCAAGUAGCGUGCAGGAUGACGGCCCUAUGGGUUGUAAACUGCUUUUAUACAGGAAUAAAGUUAGCCACGUGUGGUUAUUUGUAGGUACUGUAUGAAUAAGGACCGGCUAAUUCCGUGCCAGCAGCAGCCGCGG
rnacentral:rRNA from 1 species